UAGGGAAUCUUCGGCAAUGGGGGCAACCCUGACCGAGCAACGCCGCGUGAGUGAAGAAGGUUUUCGGAUCGUAAAGCUCUGUUGUAAGUCAAGAACGAGUGUGAGAGUGGAAAGUUCACACUGUGACGGUAGCUUACCAGAAAGGGACGGCUAACUACGUGCCAGCAGCCGCGGUAAUACGUAGGUCCCGAGCGUUGUCCGGAUUUAUUGGGCGUAAAGCGAGCGCAGGCGGUUUGAUAAGUCUGAAGUUAAAGGCUGUGGCUCAACCAUAGUUCGCUUUGGAAACUGUCAAACUUGAGUGCAGAAGGGGAGAGUGGAAUUCCAUGUGUAGCGGUGAAAUGCGUAGAUAUAUGGAGGAACACCGGUGGCGAAAGCGGCUCUCUGGUCUGUAACUGACGCUGAGGCUCGAAAGCGUGGGGAGCGAACAGGAUUAGAUACCCUGGUAAUCCACGCCGUAAACGAUGAGUGCUAGGUGUUGGAUCCUUUCCGGGAUUCAGUGCCGCAGCUAACGCAUUAAGCACUCCGCCUGGGGAGUACGACCGCAAGGUUG
rnacentral:rRNA from 1 species